CUCAACUGUUGCACAUUUCAUUCCAAUAAAAGUUCUUCUGGUUUAUGUUUUGUAUUUUAACACUACAUUUUUAAAAUAAUAUUUAUUCUGUGUGUUUAAUAUUCAUUGAUUAUAAUAUUUAUUUUACAAAACAAUUGUGAUUAAAUAAAAAGUUACAAAGAGUAGAAAAUUCGUUUACUAUGCAAAUAUUUCGAAACCUUUUUACUGUCGUCAACUCGUUCUUAAUUUGUAAUUUAAAUCCUGAUUGAACGAAUUUAUAAGUGUUACAAAAUCUCUACACUACUGUCUUUAAACUUCAAUGUGCAUUUAUCAAAAACCUUGAUACAUUUCAAAAAUAACUAGAACACUAAGACCAAUUAUAAGUCGGCAAUUGUGAUACUCAAAAUGUAUUUAUGUGCAGGGAAUGCAUUUCCAAUAACUUCAUAAUGAUAAUUUGUGUUGUAAAUUACACUAAUUGGAAUUCUAUGCCAUGUCGCUCGUGAUCGGCUUUAUAAAAUGGCAAGUUUGCAAGUUUUUUGUUAAUACUUUGUGAACUCAUCGGAAUGCGACGACGAGACCCUCCCGAUCCAGUAUUUAAUUAAUCGGAAAUUGAACACAUUAAGUAUGCUCAGGUGAUAGCCACAAAUAUUAGAAUAUGAAGGUACUGCUGGGGAGAUUCCAUCACAAAGUAAAUCGAAAGUAUUUGGCCCAAUAUAAUGUAGCAAGUAAUUGAGUCUCAUCACAGAAUCUUUGACAUUGAAGAUUGUAAACGCUCCUUCAAGACGUUGCAACCAGCGUUCAAAUUUACUUUUAGUCUCGUCAAAGAAUUCUAUGGAGAAAUUAGGCGGCACUCCGCCGACGUACGUAGGUGCAGCAACAGCAGAAAGACCACCCGCAGCAACAUCAGCAGCACCCGCAGCAACACCACCACCAGCAACACCACCAUUCAUAUUUAUGAUUAUGUACUCAAUCGAUGAAAUUAAAAUUUGUAUCAAUUUUCUUUCAAUUCGAAUCCUCGUCGCCAAAUUGUUGUACUCGUGGUGUGAAAGAAAAGAACACGUCUCCAAUUGUAUUUUUAAAUGGUUGCUUUUAUCUCGCAAUGAUGUUACCACGUUGGAUUUCUAAGCCAGAAGAGGGAUAUUGCGUCAUAUUAAAUAAGUACAUCACUUUUAUUGCUAAAGACAAGUGCUACCAAAUAGCUAACACAUUUUAAUAAUCCUUAAGGCUAUAACAGUCCCACACAGCAUACAAACAACUAAACCACCAUGAAGUACAUAAGUCCAGUGUGUAGUGGAAUGUUCACACCGAAUCAAAUAACACAAAAACUAGCACAGUGUACAGGACAUCAAACUUAUGUAGCGAAAAUAAAAGAAUUGUGGUGGCUCUACGACAAAGUAACAACAUUUUAUAAAACAAAUAAGAAUAUUACAAAUAAAAGAUAAAGACAAAUAACUGAGAAAUGUAUCUUAAACAUUUUUUAAAUAAUAAUGGAGACUCCUUUCCUAUACCUGUGUGAAUUUAAUCAUCAAAAUUCAAAUUGAUUGGAAAGUGUACAAAAAAAAUCAUUAAAAGACAAGGAAUUGUGUAAAUUAAGGUUUAUCGGAGGAGUUAAGUGCACCGAACUUUCUGCCGUCUGCAAGCUUGCAACAAUAAACUCGUAUUAGGUGAAAUAAUGCGCUUGCAUUAGCAGUAUUCCUAUUCAACAUUCAAGACACGUCAAAAGAGAACUCUGAGAGAAUCUUACAAUAAAGACAAAACCGCAAAACAAAUUGGGAGUCGAAAAACAUUAAAGGACUUUCUAUGGAGAAGAAAACAAUAAUUAAAAUACAAUCUUGACCACCUAUAAACUAUUGAAAGGUAUAAAUAUUUUAAGCAAUUUGUAUUGUUAGCUUUUGUUUAAAUUAAGAAUGCAACUAUAGAAAAUUUAAAAAAAUAUUUAAAAACUAAAAUUCAAUUAUAAAUCGGCCUUAUCACAGGCAUCUCGUCGGAGAUACAAACAGAAUACACAUUUGUUAAUAAAAAUAAUUGUCAAAGAAUUUUAAGUUCCUAUGAACUGAGUAUAAACCUCAAAAUUCCGAAUUAUGUGUCAAUAUUCAAGUAAUAACAAUAGAUAAAGCGAGUACAAAAUUAAAACAGCAACAACUCGAUCAACAGCAAACAGCGCGCUGCCAAGAUAAUAUUUUUCAAACACAUAAUCAACAGUAGCGAAAAAGCUAUCGAUGGUAACACAAAGUAUAGAAUUUAGACCUAACGACUCUGUAGGCAUUGCUGUUCCUAUUCUUAUAAGAAGUCAAAAAUUGUAAUACAUUGGUUGUAAAACAAGGGCAACCGCUGUUGCUUUUUUAAUAUUUGUCUUGCUUUGCACUGUUUUUUUCCAAUUUGUAGUACGAAUUUUCUCCGACGGGUCUGUGAUGAGGCCGAAUAACUAUUACCUGCAUUAACUUAAGAGACAUAUCAGUCGAAUAUAGUUACAAAUUAAAGUUAAAUUUUAAUAAAUAAUAAUUAAUUUUACCUAAAAAGUCUUAUUAAAAUAAGUUUAAAUUUGUACGUGCGAUUUCAUAUUUUAUAAAUAAUAAAUUAAAUAUAAUAAUAAUAUAAAUAGCAUUAAAAUAAAUUGAUAGCAAGUUCUGUUAAGUAUUGGAAAUCGUGAAUCUAAUUUAAAUCAUAAUUAGGAAGAAGGGUGUUGAAUUCAGUGACGUGCCGUGGUGAUUUCAGUAAGGUGUUCACUAUUAUUAUUUUUACAAAUAAUUUGCUUUUUUUAGUUUUAAUCCAGGAUCACGACGGGGACGUAAAA